rnacentral:rRNA from 1 species
AACGAACGCUGGCGGCAUGCCUAACACAUGCAAGUCGAACGAGACCUUCGGGUCUAGUGGCGCACGGGUGCGUAACUCGUGGGAACCUGCCCUUAGGUUCGGAAUAACUCCCCGACAGGGGUGCUAAUACCGGAUAAUGUCUUCGGACCAAAGAUUUAUCGCCUUUGGAUGGGCCCGCGUUGGAUUAGCUAGUUGGUAGGGUAAAAGCCUACCAAGGCGACGAUCCAUAGCUGGUCUGAGAGGAUGAUCAGCCACACUGGGACUGAGACACGGCCCAGACUCCUACGGGAGGCAGCAGUGGGGAAUAUUGGACAAUGGGCGAAAGCCUGAUCCAGCAAUGCCGCGUGAGUGAUGAAGGCCUUAGGGUUGUAAAGCUCUUUUACCCGGGAUGAUAAUGACAGUACCGGGAGAAUAAGCUCCGGCUAACUCCGUG